UACGUAGGGGGCAAGCGUUGUCCGGAAUCAUUGGGCGUAAAGAGCGCGUAGGCGGCCCUGUAAGUCCGCUGUGAAAGUCAAGGGCUCAACCCUUGAAUGCCGGUGGAUACUGCAGGGCUAGAGUCCGGGAGAGGAGAGUGGAGUUCCUGGUGUAGCGGUGAAAUGCGUAGAUAUCAAGAGGAACACCUGAGGUGAAGACGGGUUGCUGGGCUGACACGUGACGCUGAGGCGCGAAAGCUAGGGGUAGCAAACGGG
rnacentral:rRNA from 1 species